rnacentral:rRNA from 1 species
GCGGGGGUGCUAACACAUGCAGUCUGAACGAGAAAGUGGAGCAAUCCAUGAGUACAGUGGCGACCGGGUGAGUAACACGUGACUAACCUACCUUUUAGUGGGGGAUAACAUCGGGAAACCGAUGCUAAUACCGCAUAACAUCGCAAGAUCAAAGCAGCAAUGCGCUUGGAGAGGAGUUCGCGGUCGAUUAGCUAGUUGGCGGGGUAAUGGCCCACCAAGGCGAUGAUCGAUAUCCGGCCUGAGAGGGCGCACGGACACACUGGAACUGAAACACGGUCCAGACUCCUACGGGAGGCAGCAGUGGGGAAUUUUGCGCAAUGGGGGAAACCCUGACGCAGCAACGCCGCGUGGAGGAUGAAGCCCCUUGGGGCGUAAACUCCUUUCGAUGGGGAAGAUAAUGACGGUACCCAUAGAAGAAGCCCCGGCUAACUUCGUGCCAGCAGCCGCGGUAAUACGAGGGGGGCAAGCGUUGUUCGGAUUUAUUGGGCGUAAAGGGUGCGUAGGCGGCUUGGCAAGUCUUGUGUGAAAUCUAUGGGCUCAACCCAUAGCCUGCACGAGAAACUACCGGGCUUGAGUGAUGGAGAGGUGAGUGGAAUUUCCGGUGUAGCGGUGAAAUGGCGUAGAUAUCCGGAAGGAACACCUGUGGCGAAAGCGGCUCACUGGACAUUUAACUGACGCUGA